GAUCCUGGCUCAGAUUGAACGCUGGCGGCAGGCUUAACACAUGCAAGUCGAACGGUAACAUAAAGAAGCUUGCUUCUUUGAUGACGAGUGGCGGACGGGUGAGUAAUGCUUGGGAAUCUAGCUUAUGGAGGGGGGAUAACUACGGGAAACUGUAGCUAAUACCGCGUAAUAUCGAGAGAUUAAAGUGUGGGACCUUCGGGCCACAUGCCAUAAGAUGAGCCCAAGUGGGAUUAGGUAGUUGGUG
rnacentral:rRNA from 1 species